GUUUAAGAAAAAUUGACCAAAACACAAAAAAUUAACAGUGUGCAAUGAACCGUGAAAAUGAGGUCAUGGUCAAAAGAAACCUGCGCUACUGACAUAAAGAUCAUAAAAUAUUUCCAUACACCAAAUAUAGUUGACCUAUGGCAUAUAGUAUUAGAUAAAUAGACCAAAACUAAAAAAAACUUAACUUUGACCACUGAACCAUGAAAAUGAGGUCAAGGUCACAUGACAUCUGCCCGCUAGACAUGUACACCUUACAAUCAUUCCAUACAACAAAUAUAGUAGACCUAUUGCAUAUAGUAUGAAAAAAACAGACCAAAACACAAAAUUUAACUAUAAACCACUGAACCAUGAAAAUGAGGUCAAGGUCACAUGACAUCUGCCCGCUAGACAUGUACACCUUACAAUCAUUCCAUACAACAAAUACAGUAGACCUAUUGCAUAUAGUAUGAAAAAAAAACAGACCAAAAAACACAAAAAUUUAACUAUAACCACUGAACCAUGAAAAUGAGGUCAAGGUCAGAUGACACCUGCCAGUUGGACAUGUACACCUUACAGUCCUUCCAUACACCGAAUAUACAAGCCCUAUUGCUUAUAGUAUCUGAGAUACGGACUUGACCACCAAAACUUAACCUUGUUCACUGAUCCAUGAAAUGAGGUCGAGGUCAAGUGAAAACUGUCUGACAGACAUGAGGACCUUGCAAGGUACGCACAUAUCAAAUAUAGUUAUCCUAUUACUUAUAAUAAGAGAGAAUUCAACAUUACAAAAAAUCUGAACUUUUUUUCAAGUG
rnacentral:lncRNA from 1 species